AUAACCACACUUACAACCAUCUACAUUUUACAAACUUUUUUAUGUUUUAACACGUAUAGAGUGAUCAUUAAUGGAAUCUUUAUGUUUUAUUUGAAAUAAUAUGUUUAAAAUAACUCUCACAGUUAACACAAGUUGGCAACUUGGCAUAUUUACACUUGUAGUAGAUUUGCUACUAGAUAUUUAAUUCAUAUGAUAAUGCAAAUUGAUAUCUUCCGUUAAAUCAAAGUCACAUGGAGUAGUAACUUCCUAACAACAAAUUGGCUAUUGGAGUUUCGAAGGUUAAUGAAAAAAUGUAUCGUUUUGGGAAAAAGUUUAAGCGUUCAAAGACGUUUUUCUACACUCGAGGCCCUCGACGAUCACCUAUUGAUUCGAUGGCCCCUCAUAGCAGUCAAUCUAAAUCAAACGAAGACUACGAAGUGGAAUGUAAUGUGGAAAUGCAUGAUGAUCAUUCAUUGUUAGAAGAAUGUGUUGAGUCAAACAUCACUCUUGAACAACCGUUGCACCUGGUU